UCAUUUUAUAACAUCACAGCAGUAAGGUCCAUCUAGCUUAAAGAUGAGAUCUGGCACACGUGUGCAUUUUGUCACGCGUGGCUGCGUGUGGAUGAAAAGAGGCUCAUGGGCAGAGAAAAAUCCUAAAAAACAAGUUCGCUCUCCCUCUCUGGAUCUUCUCUUCGACUCAGGUACCUUGUUAGAUCUUUGCAUGAUGCCCAUGCCACUAUGAUGCCGGUCUGUUAGUGAGGAAGCCCUUUAUAACAUAUCCUGGGUACAUCAGCAUGUUGGGCUUGUUACCCUGGUGGAUAUUAUGAAAAAAGUCCUUGCAAUUAGAAGGAUUACCCCAUCUCAAGAGGAUUCAAGCCUUGCGGAAAAUCAGAACCCAGGUUAUUGUAUUGUUCACAGGGAGGCUGCCUACGACCCAACUGUGGAUCUACAAAAGAGCAGGCCUCCAUGUCUUGCUCACUUGUCUUAAAAGAUCAUUGCAAUACUUGAGGACACAUUACUGUGCACAUCAUCCGUGUUCUUGCCAUCUUGAAUGGGUGCUAUGGCAGGCACUGGCCUGCCAUCUCUCGGUCGCGUGAGGCUCACUGAUCUGAUAGCCUCCGAAGGACUCCCUUCAGAUUCUUACAAAAUCUCUGUGUCAACUCUGUCACAAUCCCUUGCUCAGUAUUCUGCCGCCAUCAUUCAACUACCGGCGAGCGAUAGUGCUCUUUUAAGAUCUGGGCUGGAAUCUGCUCGUCUCUUCUUCCAUCAAAGAACAUACCCAGCUACUGAGAUGGUCCAUACUAAUGACACCCGUGAGUGGUGUAAGACCUCGGGUUACUAUGCGGACCCUCAGCUAUGGCAAGAAACGUAUGACUACAGGCCUGGCUUGACUCCAACAGAGCCCAACAACACCAUGGAAUUCCCUCCAGCUGGUUUGCCUGAUAUAUUUGCACUACUUGGCAGGGCUGCUAGAGACAUCUUGGAUGCUGUCAGCUUCUCUUUGAACUUGCGCAGCUUUUCAUUUACUGAAAUACUUGAUAAUAUCCCUCUUAGAAGUAGGGAAAUAUCAUCUUCUGUCCUGUCAGUUUGCUGCCAUUCAAGACCAUCUUUUCAGGCAGCACAGCACCACAGCUUGGCAGCACAAGAAGACAGCCAGAUGGUCAUGUACACUGACCAUGAGCAUCAUUUUGAUAAAAGCUUAAUAACUCUUGUUAAGUCAGAUAAGGCAGGCCUACACAUCAGGGAUUUCCAUGGGCGAUGGAUACUGGUGGAUGGGGAUCUUGGACCCCAAGAAGCCGUUGUCUACCCUGGCCUUGCGCUAUACCAGGCAACUGCAGGUUAUGUCAGCCCAGCGCUGCACCGAACUGAGACAGGUAACCUGCAGGGUAGCAUGUAUGGACGGUGUUCUCUGGCAUUCAAGCUAAUGCCUCGGUCCAUGGCGAGCCUCAGCUGUUCAGAGAUGCGGGCUGCUGGUCAUGGGGUUGAAGCUCAGUUCCAGCUUCCCAUACCAGUUGAUGACUUCAUGCAGAGAUCGCACCCCACUGAUCAACUAUUUACCAGGCACAGCUUCCCUAGUUAUUCCUUCCCGGCCUCUCAAGAUGGAUCUCUCAAGCCCUUGUUGAAGAGAAGGAAGAACAAUACAAGGUGCAAGCCUUUGCCACCAUCCAAGAGGCUGCGCCUCGAAGCGCAGAGAGUCCUCAAGGAGCGGGUUCAGGACAUUGCGGACAAGAAGGGUAUCAAGCUUAGGUUUUGCAAUCUGAAGGAAUGUGAAGGUCACAUACAAGCAGUGGACAGCCCAUGUGGCACCAUACGCAUGGAGAUUGGAUGGCCACCAGGGGUGCCCUUUGUUCAUCCCCACGAUCUUCCCAAUAAAGCGAAGCUUGGUUUCCUUGAAGCGUAUGAACCUGGUUGGACAGCCUCUCAAGAUAUGGAGUUAAGUCUAAUCGAACCUGGACAGGCCGGUCAUCACUCAAUUAACUGAAUCAAUCUCCAUAACUUUCAACAUUCAACCACCUCUUAUCAGCCCGUGACAUGAUAAACUGAUCCAACAUCAUGAUCUCCUCAACCUGCAGCUGUGCCCCAAACAUGCAUUGGCUUCUUGGCGUGCAAUUGUCGCCAAACCCUGCAGAAGCUUGAUUGCCUAUAAUUCAUAAGUGUGCAGCUCCACCAAAGGAAGAGUGCUCAUGUUGUAUAUAGGAAAUAAAAAAUGGGAGGAAGACUUGCCUCCAUUCUUCCCUUGGCAUAAUAUGUGUUUGCCUUCUAUGUUGGCGCCAUUCCUGUACAGAGUCUGUGGGCCCCAUUAUUAAGAGGUUUCCUCGCCUUGAUGGUGCUAUAGACAUGUAGCUGCAACAGUGCUUAGCAUCUGACAUGAUGUAAGCAAUAGCGGCCAUGGUUGUUGCAGCUACAUCGUUUUCGUCGACUUUACAUUCAACCAUUCUCUCUUCAACAUGCGUGCAUGUACAGCAAGUCAAUGGUGACUACCAAUUAGUUUAUAUAAAGUACAAUCUGCUUGCUAACCGUCACCAAAAAGCUGAUUGGCGAGAAGUGAAAUCGUGGUCUAUUACAAAUGCAAUGUAGAAUGCGAGAUGUAAUGUUAUUAAUGGUUGAUGGAAUAACAUAUCAGAGAAGAUGUCUUCAGAGAAGUAGCAUGUACCUGCUACCAAAGAAUUAGAAAAUGAGUAUGUUCUGACUCCGACACUAACACAGAUAUCAAUGAAUUGCAAAAUAUUAGAAACAAAUAAGGGAUUCAGAUUUGUAGGCAAUGGGAUGUUGUAUUGACCUUUUUGUUUGUUGUCCAUAUGCGGAUUGAUGGAACAUAGCAGAUACUCGAAUGAAGUAGUAUGGAGUCACAGAGAACAACUAGUGUUGAAGAAGAUGGUCUUCACUUGGACAAGGAGCAUGGAAAAGGAGAAAAGAGAUCCAUCAGGAAUGUACGAGUAAUGCAAUGAAAAGAAAGGGAGAAGCAUCAACGAAGAUUCUCACCUUCUGUUGUCUCAGUGCGGAUUCACAGUCAGAGAUGGUUCUUGCUACAGAUUUACCCCUUGAAGAAGCCUCUAUUGUUCGCUGUUGAUGUCUCCCCAGCGGAUUGAGGGAGGGUUGUUGCCGGUUUAGGGCCAUGCAAAAGAUUGUGAGGGAGAGAUGGUGAGGAAGAUGAAGAGCUUUUGCAAUGGAGGUUGUGGUGUAUUUAAUGAGGGUAGUGGUGUGUUUAAUGCCAUGCACAAUCGAACCACCAAGCAGCAGAACAGUUGAAUGGAAUGAAUUUGUAUCUCGAUGAAAUCCAAGAAAUGAAUUUUGGCAGUAAUUUACAGUAUUACUCUGACAACUUGUUGGUGUAAAACUGUGGUGGAUUACUGUUUUAUUGUUAUUUUCAGAAGCAGCAUCAAAAUUUCAUAAUGACGAAAUCACAUUACAUUAUCAUUGUCAUUUACAAUCCAAACAGGCCCUUACUGGUUAAAAGGGGUUGAAACUACCCACAAGCUGAAGUAUGUUUUCACCUCCAUCAUGGUAUUCAGUGCAAGCUUUGUUAAACAACAUAGCUCCUCUUUCAGUAUCCGGUGAAUGUGCUUUUGAUGUACUAGGAGAAAAAGACAGGAGCUAAAUAAAAGUCAACAAGUCAACGUGUGUAAUCUGUAAAUAUUUGACAGAAUUGGAAGAUUUUUCAGUGAAAUUUUAAUACAAUAUGUUUUGAGAACAAAUACCUA